rnacentral:rRNA from 1 species
UGAGGAAUAUUGGUCAAUGGGCGGAAGCCUGAACCAGCCAAGUCGCGUGAGGGAAGACGGUCCUAUGGAUUGUAAACCUCUUUUGCCGGGGAGCAAAGCCAUUCUUGCGAGAGUGGCCGGAGAGUACCCGGAGAAAAAGCAUCGGCUAACUCCGUGCCAGCAGCCGCGGUAAUACGGAGGAUGCGAGCGUUAUCCGGAUUUAUUGGGUUUAAAGGGUGCGUAGGCGGGAUGAUAAGUCAGCGGUAAAAUUGCGGUGCUCAACGCCGUACCGCCGUUGAAACUGUCGUUCUUGAGUGGGCGAGAAGUAUGCGGAAUGCGUGGUGUAGCGGUGAAAUGCAUAGAUAUCACGCAGAACUCCGAUUGCGAAGGCAGCAUACCGGCGCCCAACUGACGCUGAGGCACGAAAGCGUGGGGAUCGAACAGG